GUUCUUUUAUUCGGGUCUCCGCGAAGGGUCCAGUGACAGCUCUUCUCUCCCGAACCGGGCAGAGUUAGGGGUUUUUAUACCCUACAGGGGUUUUGAAAACUGUCCAAUAGUAAGGGUCAGGGGAAAGUGACCUAUGGGCUUACAGGGAGAGAGCAGGGUCUGAAAGACAGAAGAGAGGGGCUUCUAAAGCCUUAGUCAUGCUGACUUUGGCAUUUCCUAGCUCUCAGGCCUCUGAUCGCCAAGGAGGCCGUGCAGGCCCUGUGCCUGCUACAAGUAAGGGACCUGUAUCAGUUUAAAAGUGGUGUGUGAGGAAGAAAGGGCUUGAGAUGCUGCAUCCACACCAAAGUUACUUCAAAUGCAGUGUCCUGCCAUAUGUCCCCAUCAAGUGUCUUUGAGAGAAAGAUUUCCUUCAAGACCACAAGUUCAUAUCAUUGGAUCAAGAAGAAAGGACCUGAAUCAAGGCUGAGUAGUAUCUUCUGCAUGGGCCUCUUAUGGAAAAAUAUUUGCUCACUACAGUAUCAGGAAAUCAGAGUAUCUGACAAAAGAGUAAUUGGAUGAAUUGAAGACUGUGGUAAAAUAUGCUGGCAUUUUGCUGCCAUGUUGUCGAGAGUGACUUAAACCUUAGAAUCAAUCAUUGAUAUUUAAUUGAUAAAUAAUUGCACAUUUAUUUGAUACUUGAUUAUUUGCCCCCUACUCCAUUUAUCCUAUGGGUCCAAUGGAGACUCUAUCAAGGACAGACUUCUGAAAGGAAAAGAGAAUACGAGACUAUUUGAGAAGAAUUCUCUUCUUCUCAAAGAAGACAAGAGCUUCAACUGUAUCAGAAUUCCUCCAAAUAGCCACAUCAUGUCUGCAAGGAUAUGCAUUAAAUUACUCUAUAGAAAGCAAAUGGAAACAGAGGCCUCUCUGCAUCCUUCUGCAUGUGCUCAGCAUGCUGACAAAGUCCUUAUGUAAAAACCAGCAAGGAUCUAUAAAAGAAUCAAGAACUCUGAAUCUGAGUCACUGAGAAAAAAACUGGCUUUGUGAAGCUUUCUUAUUCCUUCUGAAUCAAUUCAGAGGCUAUGAAAGGUGCUGAACUGACAGACCAAAUUCCUUUCUUAAUACACAAAACAGGUGCAGUAAAUGCUGAUUUUUGAGUUUUCCCCACUGUACCAGUGCAUUUCAGCCUUGGUGGAGGGGGACCACCUUCGGGCAGAGAGGAGAGUUCAUCUUCCAAGCCUGUGCAUUUUUCCUCUGUGUCGACUGCCAACAAAGACACCAAUUAGUGCAUAGCCCUGGCAUUUGGAGCAAAUGAAAGCAGAGACAACAGAAUAAAGGGAGAGAUGUGUUUGCUCCUGGAAUUCUGUGUUGACAUUUAUUUUGGAUUUUAGCAAGGCCUACAAUCGUUUGCAUUAUUUUAAGGAAAAAAAAACAACCCACCCAGUCUCAUUACCAUUGGAUAUGAUGAUGGGAGAAAUGGGCUGGAAAAAUCCUGGAUCUUUGCUGUGCCUUAUUCUGGAAUUACAAAGACUAGGGCAAAUUCUUUACUGCUGUGCCAUUCAGCUAUUAUGUUUAACAAUCUAAUUAGAAAGGCUAUGUUGCUUUCCCCCAUUAUAAAAGCAAAGACAGUGCACACAAGCAAAACCAAUUAGACAGCUGUAGUUUACAGAGCUGGCUUGCCUCGAGGCUCAUUUCUAAUGAACCCCCAGUAGAUGGUUCCUAUCCAGAAACAGGACAGAAGGAACACAGUGACAGUGUGCUAUCUUUCCUGUAAUCAGGCACUAAUGUCUGCUCUGGUCCACAGAGCUGACACUUGACCAUUUCUUUCUGCAGCCGUGGUGGCCACCAGCACCAGCACUGUGACACUAACCUGGCUGAUAACUCAUGUCCCUUACAGGGCUCAAAGUCAUGCUAACAGGUGGCAAUAAAUCUAAAAUGUUCCUCUCAGUUUUAUGAUUGCUGCUUUCUGCUCACCAGGGACUUGUUUUAACUGAAAGCAGACACAAAGCUGUACAAUAACCUGCAUACUUGCCAUGCUUUUAUUUUUCAGCAUGUAUGGCUCAAAUUAAGGCAGACUGUAUUGAGUAGAUUGCUCACUCCAAGUUAGUCAUCUGUUUAGUGUUUCCACAAAGCAGUUGUGGUUGUUCACAAGUCUAUUAAUUAAAAAGAAAAUGAUUAAGGAAACUACUCAGUGGGUUGAUGAACCAUUCAACCACUUCAAAACUGAGUAAAACAUUAAAACAACCCCCCCCCCCCACAUUCCUUUUCUUGAAUAGUCUGAUAGCAGGUAUUUGUUUGAACUGAACUUUAUAGGGCUUGUGAAAACACAAGCUCUUGUCAUCACUGCAUUUAAAUGAGUUUUAUGUACAAGAAACUGAGUAGCAAUGUCUGAGCUAGAAUAGAUGGGAUGGUGUCAGCAUUCCCAUUAAAAACACCCCUGUAUUCACUGGGUUAUGAGUCAGUUAUUCAAAAUCAGUCCAGCACAAAAUUUUGCAUUUCUGACUGAAAUACUUAGGUCAGAGAAAGCAAGCAUGGGACUUGCAGAGAAGUCUGCAUAAAUUAAUUUAUAUUUAAAAUUAGAAGUACAUACACAGCUACAUCUUGAUAUAUUGUAUCAGCUGUAGAGUUGCAUUGCUAUUACUACUGCUAUUAUUUAUCACCUCAAAUAUAAUUUUCUCACUCAUAUUAUUUUGAAUUUCUCUGUUUGAGAGAAAUAAGUGAAGAAAUCUUUCCCAUCCACUAUCUUCACCCAGUGUUUGUCUCCUCUGCCCUUGUUUCAGUAGUGUGCAUAGGGGUGGAGGGUGUAAAAACAAGACAAGAAAAAAGGAAAAAUAGGAAUAUAAGGGAGCAAAGAAUACAAAUCUGAAUUCCUCUGGUAUUCAUAAAAUCUUAAAUAAGACAUUGAAAGUAAAAAACUAAGCAAAGAAGAGUUUGAAAUAUGUUUUAGUCACAACAAUACUGUCAAAAACUUGACUUUUUUGAUCCAUUUUUAAAAGUCCAUAUUUUACAAAGAGGUAAAAAAAUAUUUCUGACUAGCGUCAUUGUCAGAAUGCUUUCAAAAUGAAAUUAUGAAAAACUUGAUUAUAAAAGGCUGAGUUGGGGGAAAAAUAGCAAAAACAGCAACUAAAAGGGUAAAAACCUUUGUCGUGCUCUCAAUUUGUAUCUUCAGUUGCUUCUUUUUAAAGAAGUUACUUUCAAGGAUGGUCAAAUGAGUAAAUAUCUAGUUAUAAACUUUAUUACAUUCUUGACACACUGGCGGAGGUAGCUUAAAGUAACCCUGUGCAAGAAGGCAAACACAAAAGAAGGGGUUACCUAGGCUACUGUAUAUUUACAAGUACUUGCCAAUAAUAUCUCCAAAUGUAGCUCAAAACCCAACCAAACAAAAUAGAUAAUGAAUGCUUGUAAGGAUUAGGAAAAGUGCCAAAGAUAGCAGAUCAAGGAAUUAUUCUUCAUGGGAAAAAAAUGUAGGAUCAGAUUUCUAGAACUAAAGCUAGUAUGAAUUCUUUAUACUGAGGCAAUUUAAUUCUCCAAAGAAAGAAAGAGCUUUGGUGGGUGGGUGAGAUGGAAAGUCAGCUUUUAAAGACUUCUUAUGUUUGCAAUGGUCAGCUAUUGUUUGGAAUAAAACUAGGUUAAUUAUUGUUGUUUCAAAAAGAGGUAAAAAUUAUGUCUGGAUUAAUUCCAAAACUUUUUCCCUCCACAUUUUGUACUAUGCAAAUAAUACAAAAGAUGUAUUUUCCCACUGAAUGGCAGUCCACUGCUGUAUGUCUUCUCAAACCAUGAUAGUGGCAUCUCCCUGUGCCCAGCCCUGGAUUAAAGGAGUUCACU